UAGGGAAUCUUCCACAAUGGACGCAAGUCUGAUGGAGCAACGCCGCGUGAGUGAAGAAGGGUUUCGGCUCGUAAAGCUCUGUUGUUAAAGAAGAACGUGGGUAAGAGUAACUGUUUACCCAGUGACGGUAUUUAACCAGAAAGCCACGGCUAACUACGUGCCAA
rnacentral:rRNA from 1 species